rnacentral:rRNA from 1 species
AUGUACCUGGAUCUGAAGGAUAGCUUCUGGUGGACCGGAAUGAAGAAGGAGAUUGCGGAGUAUGUAGCAGUUUGUGAUGUAUGUCAGAGAGUGAAGGCGGAGCAUCAGAAGCCAGCAGGAUUGCUGCAACCAUUGCCGAUACCCGAAUGGAAGUGGGAUAAGCUAGGCAUGGACUUUAUCACGGGAUUACCUAGGACUCGUUUAGGCUAUGACUCGAUAUGGGUUGUAGUUGAUCGUUUGACGAAAGUAGCUCAUUUCAUCCCAGUGAAGACCACUUACACCAGUGCUAAGUUGGCAAAGAUAUACAUGAUCAGGAUCAUAUGUUUGUAUGGAGUUCCAAGGACAAUUGUAUCAGAUAGAGGAACCCAAUUUACCUCAAAGUUUUGGAAUCAGUUACAUGAAACUUUGGGAACCAGGCUAGAGUUCAGUACGGCUUUUCACCCGUAG